UUAACUGCUUAUCAGUCAAUCCAAAGCAUUGCUAGAUUAAUAGUCAAACAGCUAUGAAUACUAUUUCUGCUAGGUUAAUAGCCAGCUUGCUGAGAAUAGAUUUUCUGGGGAACUGAAGCAGCUUGUUGGUUCUGUGAUUGGCUGAAAUUAAGGGGAAUUCUUUUUAAGAAAAUUAAGAUAUUUACUUCUGAUGUUUUUCUGACAUAGAUCUUCCAGAUUUUCAUUUUGCUGUCAAAGCAAAUGGGUUAAAAGUCUAAAAUGACUGUGGAAGGCUACUAUUAAAUUUCACAGUAGAGAGGGCAUGGGUAUUUUCAUUUUGACUUUUUGUCCAGCUGAUCCAAGUAAUUGUUUUAGUUUAGAAGUGAGAGCUGUCUUUUCUCUUACUUUUUGUUUGUGAUUGCUGCUGUUGUCUCUUUAAAUGGGAGGGGAAGAGAGCAAUUAUUUGGUUUGUGAAAUAUCUGAAGAUCUGCAGAUACAAAGCACUCCUUAAUUGCAAAGGACUUAAAUUAGAGCUGUAUUAAGUCAUCUUUCCUUUAUGUCAGUCCAUGCAGUGGUCUGAAUAAAUCUGUUUGUAAUCAAAUUUAAACUUGAUUGACGAAUAGGGGUAGAAGAUUUGGUGUUUAUUUUUUUUAACCACGGGCUGUGUAAUUCACUGAAACUAGAACUCUAGGCUAAUUUCUUCCUGUAGGAAAGAGGUACCAUUUAAGUUUUGUUGUUGUUGUUAGUAAGUAUUAAUGAAGUAUUAAUUAAUUAAGUAGUCUUUGCUAAUCCUGUGAAAAACAGUCAUGAUAUGUCAGUUCAGUGCUGUUAGCUCUUGUAUCAAAAUGAUAUUUAAUCCCCUCUAAACGUGAAUUUGCUAGUUUAUGUAUUUUGGGAGGAUUAAGGUCUGAAAACUGGCAUAAUAAGGCUAGAAAUCAGGCAGUUUUUCUUCCAUUAGAAUUUCAGGUCAGAAAUAUCUAUUUCACCUUGCAUUAGACUUGUUUUACACUUGUGAAUGGAGACCAGAUUGUGUAAUAUGUGGGGGUUCUCGUCCUAGUAACUGUUGACCACUGAUGCCUCAUAAUCACUGCAGCAGUAUUUUCUCCAUAUCUUUGCUUUAUGGGGUAGCUGUGCAUUCAUUCUGGCUUGUGUACUAUGCUUUUCCCCUCUUCCUUCCUUGUAAGAGGUAAUUGAAUGAAAACUCACAUCUCUUCUGAUAUUUUAAAUAAGUUUUGUAAACGGAGACAAAACAAAUCAAUCGGUUCCUUCUCCUUUUAGAGCAAUCAGAGAAAAACCAUUGGAGAUUGAUAUCUCAGGCCCAUCAGUUCUGCUUUCAGUCAGUAUACAGAGGUUUUGGAAACAAGCGAACAAAAAGAUAAAAUAAGUCCUUUUCUCCUGCUGUAUGAGAGAGAAAAAAUGCUUUUGUUUUCUCUUCCCAUCUCUGAAUAGGCAGGUGCCAAAACUAACUUUGUGGCUUCUUUAUCUGGCUUCUGUGUUAAAACUAAGGACAGAAGCAACAAAUUUGGAUAGAUUAAGGAUUCUAUUGGUAAAAAAUGCGUAUUCAUAUUCAUGGUGAUGUUGGUAAGAUUAAGGAUUCUGAUUUACCAUUUGUGAGUCAAAAAGGAUAAUAAUGUAUGAGUGUCAAAGCUAGAUGAUCUCUGAGGUCUCUUCCAAUCCAAGCCAUUCUAUGAUUCUAGGAUAUUCGAAAAUCUUUUGUGGCUUAUGAUUCGUGGCAUAUGUCUCUGACACUUUCAGAUUAAUUUUUUGAUUCAGGGAAUGUGUUUAGAUGACCCAUAUGUCUCUUUGAAUCUUAUUUUCGUUAGACAAGUAUGUGUAUGUACAGUUAUGCUAUGUUUUAUUACGCGAAAAUAAAUGUUUUGGUAACACUAAGGUUCCUGCUGUGAAAUGUAAAUUGUUGCCUAUGCAGGAAUGACCCUGCAAGUUAUUGUAUUUUAUUGUAUCUAUUUUUCAAAGAGUAUCCAAUUGGUAGACAGAAGUCUCUUUCUUUUUUUUUUUUUUUUUUUCUUUUUUUUUUUUCUUUGUAUUUGUUUGUACAUAGUUCUUAUUGACCGUGUGAAAACCUGGAAUUUCUAAAUUGACUUUCAGGGGGAAAAAAUCAUUGCACACAACAGAUUAUUCAUGGUAUUAUUUACUCUAAAAUGUUAACAAUUCCGAAAUAUCAGAGGAUAUAACUGCAGCAAAACAACCCAGCCUUAGCAUAAUAUUUAGUUGUUUCCCUCCUUUGUUACUAGGUAGCUGGAGCUUUUAGGGAGAAAUUUGUCAUUAAUAGCACAGCUCCAUCCUACACAAGAGUCUCUAGUUCUUUGCAAACAUGAACUUUUAAAAGGUAUUUUUAAAAGAUUAGCAUUUGAGCUUUGUCGCCUGUGGUUUUAGCUUAAUCUCACAAGGACAAAUUAAAUUUUUUUUCAGCAUCAAAGCAUCGUAAGACUUUGAUGUGUUUGUGUGAAGGAGAAGUCACGUUGUUGAGAUACUGAAGCUUUAACUCCAGACUUAGUUGUGAUGUUUGGACUUAACUCUGUAUUUAAAUGAUCAUUAAGACACAUCUCCCCACUAUUGAAGGUGGUUGCCAAAGGCGUGCUGUUUCCCUUUUGCAGUGAUCCCUGUCUGUGAACUGAUUUUGAAGAGCUGUUGAGCACUCUGUGCUCCUUCCCUCCUGAGCUGGAGAAGCAAUCCAGUUGGAGGCAUGUCUGGAUAGAGUGUUUUAGAGAGGAGUUUGUUUGUUUUUCUUCCACCUGCAGGCAUAGGUCUGGUCUCUUGUUUUAACUUGAUCUAUAAUCCUUGAUAUCCACAGGAAUUUCAUGUCAGCAUUGAAGCUCUGGGCAUACAAAUUAACGCAAGUGGAAAAUCUUGCUGAGUACUGACAGGAGAACCAGUUUCUCCUUUUCAUAUCUGGCAGUGCUGGGUGAGCAAUAAAGUCUUUUGUAAUUGUUGGUUGUAAUUGUCAACUAUUCUGUUGUUGUAUUUCAAAGAGCUUGUUUCGAAACUGUCACUUUUUAUAUGGUGCUUCAUAAUGCCAUCGUUAAAGAGCGCUGAGUUGAAAAAAUCCACUGUGAAGAUACUCAGCCAAGCAAAACCAGUAUGUGUAUGUACAGGAGGGUAAUUGUCUGUGGGCAACAGUUGUGGAGCAAGGGCCAUUGUUUCCCCUACCAAAUGCUCACUACUUGUUGCAAUCAUUUUUUUUUAAUGAUUAGGAACAGUGUUUCCCAAUCAGUGAGUUCUCAAUUUAUAUGCUUUCCAAUUCUGUGUGUUUAAGUUUGACUAAGAUAAGUGCCAGUGUGUUGAUCCAAAUGCGUAGGGAGAGAGAUUGUGGAUUGACUGAUGGGAGCAAAGAAGAGUGUAUUUUUAGGUUUUUACAUAUAUAAUAGUUCAAAUACGCUACCUGAUUUUGGCUUUUUUACAAGCUCUGCAAAAUAGGGAUCAUAGCAUUUUAAAAGAUGAUUCAUCUCCAAUGCCUACUUCAUCAUCACUGACUUGUUCUUCAAAGCAAUAAUCAAAAACUAGAUUUUAAAUCUUUACAGACUUAAGGAGUUUUAUUUGAAAUGUUUGAACUAAGGCACAGAAGGUUUUGUUUUCUGUGUAAGAUGGUCACCAACAGCUCCAACAAGGAUCAGUUGAAAAUGUGAAGAGGAAACACACCUAUAAAUUGUAGUUUCUCGUCUCAGAUGUGUUCCUCUAAUAUAGAAGCAUGAUGAAAACAGAAGUAACCGGAAUGGAAGUAUAAGCAGGAAUGGCAAAGUGCCAGCAAUCCCUAGAACACAAAUCUGCAGGCAGCUAAAUGAGACUCCACACCUAGUUCUUGAUUCGCAAGAGCUUUGCAAGAGCAGUAACGUGUACAUGUGGUGUGAAGAGAAGAGAAAGCAAUGCCACUUCCCAAAAGCAGUGUGUGCCUUCAGCCUGUUGCUGUUGUACAGCAGGUCUUUGAACUAGCUGCAAAGCUGUGGGUGUAGUGGGAAAGUUUAUUUCUGCUUCCUGUACUGUAUU